UGUAGGGGUCCAGAUUUUGCAGCUCUUUCAGAACAUCAGCUAUCUGGAUUUGGGUGAAGGAGAAAUGGGGGAGGCAUGGGCGAGUUGCCGUGCAAACAAAAAAUUACUCAUGGAACUCUGAGGUCGUCCCAUUGUUUACUAUAGGGAAAUAUUGGUAUGUCUGUCUAUUUCGACAAAUAUCUCGCAAUUUGUAUAUUUCGAUUUUUUUCAAGUCGGGCACCAUUUUAAUCAUGAGAAUCUCCUCUUUCUAAUUYUGUAAGGCUGGGCACUGUAGACCAUAAAUAGUCAGAAGUUGCCAUUUUUUCCCCUACUUCCUCGUUAUGCAGACAAAAGCACACUUGGCACCAUCGAGCUGCGGAUGUCUACUUUCUACACAAGUUGUUAUUUUUCAGUUCCGUCAUAAGAACAUAUUGUAGUGGUAAAAUAAAAAGGGAUCCAUUUUUUGGUGUCAUUUAGGCGAAAUUGAAUUCAAAGCGUCACUCUAGUCAAAACGUAUCUUAGCCAACGUUCUUUUGCGAUUUUCAGCCUUGGGUGAAUGUUGACUCGUUCUGUUGUCCAGCCCACGCUGGACUUGUAUCCACCUCCUAAAGAGACAGUCUUUGCGGCUCUGGCUCAAAGCGCUGAACCUAAAGAAACCAUCAAAACGUCCCUUUGUGUGCUCCUACCGCUUUUUUGACAAAAAGCCUACAGUGGAGCAUCCUUACCCAGAAAYAUGGCUGGCUACGAUGCUCCACUCGUGAAGAAGCGUUGGUCAGGCAGUCAUCAUCAGUGACAGAUGACACAACAGGCUCAAGUGUACACCAAAUUGAAAUGGGGAUUGGCCUUUAUAGAAAGAAGGAAUGGAUAUGCCUUCAGAGAAGGAUGCCCAAACCCAAUGGGAAGACCCAUCUCUAAGUGAUCACAACUACAGCUCAGGUGAUCAUGUAAAGCCCACUACCUGUGAGGCAGAGACACAGUGCCCAGCAGCACCUCUCUACAAAACCCUGCUGAGGAACAAGGCUGUCACGCCCAUGUGUAGAGACGGACCGAGGCGUAGCAGAGGAUGCAACAAGAUGGACUGCUACCCUCAAUUUCAGAGGAUAACUUCCCAGGUGGCAGAACAAAACAAUUCUCUGUUAAAAAGAACGAAAGGCCAGCUGUCAUAUAUGAACAGGGAGAACUCCAUGACACAUCAUCAACUGUUCCUGUGGCAUAAAUCCUGCGAAAUUAUAAAAUAAAAAAUAAAUAAAACGUACUCAGUAAGUGUAGCUACAUUUGAUUGUAGCAAUGUGAAUGCCCUACCCACGUCAGGAUUUCCCUGCACACGAUCUACUUACUUUCCUUUUUUUUAUUUUUUAUUAAUACAUUUUUAUUUCUUGUGUGCUUGGGGGCAUUGUCUUGCUGGAAGAUCCACUUUUGACCAAGUUUCCAUCUUUCUUUCAAUGCCUAACCCACUGCUGGUGUGCGUGGCCAAAGACGUCUAUUUUGUCUCGUGACCGUAGCACCUGGUUACAAUCCAAGUGCCAAUGCCAUUUAGCAAGCUCCAGGCGUGUACAUUUAUUGGUUACUUGCAAUAAAAGCUUUUUUCUGACAACCCUUCCAAAAAACCUGGCAUUGCCAUGGGGGUGGCGUCUAAUUGUAGAUUAAGAGACUUGGUGUCCCCAAGAUGCGACCAAGUUCUGUAAUUGUCCUUGGACUUUUUCUUGCCUCCAGAACCAUCUUCCUCACUGUGCGUGGGGACUUGAUCCACAUGCAUGAAGGGUGCCAAUAUUAUUGUAUUAAUAAAACAAUAUGUUCAUAAUACAAUACUGUAUUAUGAACGGUGUCUAAUGGGUUGAUUUUAGGUCCUGUACUUUUUACUGUAUAUAUAAACAAUAUUAUUGUCAUUGCAAAAAACUGUAACAUGCAGGUGACACUGUUGUGUAUGCUAUUGCUCCCACGGUUGACAAGGCUCUUUCGGAGUUUCAAUCGGCCUUUAUUGCCUUGCAAAAAGCCUUUGUUGAACUGAAAUUGGUACUUAAUGCAGGUUAAACCAAGUACAAAAAUGUAUCUGAUGAUUUAUGCAUAUGUACAUUGGAAGCAUGUUGAGGAGUUCAUUAAGAAAUGAAUAAUUAAAAUGGGCUUCUUUUAUAGGAAUAAGUCAUGCCGCUCGUUAAAUAGCAGAAAACAAAUAACUCAGUCGACAUUCAUCCCGGCAUUAAACUAUGACAAUAUCAUCUAUAUCCCUCAAACUCAAACCUGGACCUCAAAGCCAGUUCCAAUGAUUUAGACCUGGGAUACCAGGUGUGUGCAAUUAAUUAUCAGGUAGAACAGAAAAGCAGGGUAUGAGUCGAGAACCCCUGGUCUAUGUGUAUGCAGCUGCCAUAGUAUGAAACUCAUUAGAUGCAGACGAUAAGGUUAAGUACACAAAAGUAGGCCGGCCCUCUCUUAAAUCUCGUAGAUCAAUGGUUUAUAAAACCCUGUUGUGCCAACUUUCGCCACACCACAGACAUACAAGUCACCAGACCCGCUCAAAGGAAUGGUUCAUUUUAUAGUUUCCGGUUGAUCAGUACAGAAAUAGGUAAAUCUGCAUUCAGUUUUUUUUGCACCGUGUAUGGAAUGAUCUCAGAGCUCUCUGCACCUUGAUGCUCUGGUGUCUCUAGGGCAGUUCAUGUCGUUAUUGAGGUGACUCCUUGUUUAAAUAAAGGUUCAAUACAAUUGUAUGGUGGCGUUCAUCUCUUUUGCAGGCAGUCUUGUUUAUUUUCAUUGAUAUAUUUAUUUUGAGGGUAUCCUGUAGUUUUGCUGUUGAUGUAUUUUCCUUUUUGAAGUAGCUUUUGUUUGAGUCGUUUCUAAGAAAAAUACAAAUAUAUAUUUGAUAUUAAAUUGAAUACAUGAAUGAUCA